rnacentral:rRNA from 1 species
AUACGGAGGAUCCGAGCGUUAUCCGGAUUUAUUGGGUUUAAAGGGUGCGUAGGUGGUAGAUUAAGUCAGCGGUGAAAGUUUGUCGCUCAACGAUAAAAUUGCCGUUGAUACUGGUUUACUUGAGUAUAGUUGAAGUAGGCGGAAUGCGUGGUGUAGCGGUGAAAUGCAUAGAUAUCACGCAGAACUCCGAUUGCGAAGGCAGCUUACUAAGUUAUAACUGACACUGAAGCACGAAAGCGUGGGUAUCAAACAGGAUUAGAUACCCUGGUAGUCCACGCAGUAAACGAUGAUUACUCGCUGUUUGCGAUAUACAUUAAGCGGCCAAGCGAAAGCGUUAAGUAUUCCACCUGGGGAGUACGUUCGCAAGAAUGAAACUCAAAGGAAUUGACGGGG